rnacentral:lncRNA from 1 species
AUCCCGCUUAGAGAUCGCAACUAUAGUGGAGAGAAAAUAAGUAUCAGUAGGCACUAAAGGGGAAUCUUAGAGACGGAAUUCAAAUAUAAGAAUAGAGGAGUACGUGGGGGUGAAGUAAAGAUAACUCUAGCAAUAUAGACCGGGCCUGCUUCCCAUUCAUUCUUUUAUAAGAAUGCUUUUUGGCUGGUCAAUAGGGCGCAUCGCUUUUGCUUCUGUAAUAGAGGCGCUGUAAU